GACGAACGCUGGCGGCGUGCCUAAUACAUGCAAGUCGAGCGGACCGAAUGGAAGCUUGCUUCUGUUCGGUUAGCGGCGGACGGGUGAGUAACACGUGGGUAACCUGCCCGUAAGACCGGGAUAACUCCGGGAAACCGGGGCUAAUACCGGAUAACACCGAAGACCGCAUGGUCUUUGGUUGAAAGGUGGCUUUUGCUACCACUUACGGAUGGGCCCGCGGCGCAUUAGCUAGUUGGUGAGGUAACGACUCACCAAGGCGACGAUGCGUAGCCGGCCUGAGAGGGUGACCGGCCACACUGGAACUGAGACACGGCCCAGACUCCUACGGGAGGCAGCAGUAGGGAAUCUUCCGCAAUGGACGAAAGUCUGACGGAGCGACGCCGCGUGAGCGAAGAAGGUCUUCGGAUCGUAAAGCUCAGUUGUUAGGGAAGAAGAAGUACCGUUCGAAUAGGGCGGUACGGUGACGGUACCUAACGAGAAAGCCCCGGCUAACUACGUGCCAGCCGCCGCAGUAA
rnacentral:rRNA from 1 species